rnacentral:rRNA from 1 species
CCUACGGGGGGCUGCAGUGGGGAAUAUUGGACAAUGGGGGCAACCCUGAUCCAGCCAUGCCGCGUGUGUGAAGAAGGCCCUCGGGUUGUAAAGCACUUUCAGUGAGGAAGAACGCCUGGUGGUUAAUACCCAUCAGGAAAGACAUCACUCACAGAAGAAGCACCGGCUAACUCCGUGCCAGCAGCCGCGGUAAUACGGAGGGUGCGAGCGUUAAUCGGAAUUACUGGGCGUAAAGCGCGCGUAGGUGGCUUGAUAAGCCGGUUGUGAAAGCCCCGGGCUCAACCUGGGAACGGCAUCCGGAACUGUCAAGCUAGAGUGCAGGUGAGGAAGGUAGAAUUCCCGGUGUAGCGGUGAAAUGCGUAGAGAUCGGGAGGAAUACCAGUGGCGAAGGCGGCCUUCUGGACUGACACUGACACUGAGGUGCGAAAGCGUGGGUAGCAAACAGGAUUAGAUACCCUAGUAGUC